CGUCGGUUAGAGGAGUUAUACACAGAAGACAUACACCGAGUGUACAAAACAUUAUGAACAGCUCUUUACAUGACAAAGAUUGGCCAGGUGAAAGCUAUGAUCCCUUACUGAUGUCAACCAGUGUAGAUGAAGGGGAGGGGACAGGUUAAAGCUAUGAUCCCUUAUUGAUGUCAACCAGUGUAGAUGAAGGGGAGGGGACAGGUUAAAGCUAUGAUCCCUUAUUGAUGUCAACCAGUGUAGAUGAAGGGGAGGGGACAGGUUAAAGCUAUGAUCCCUUAUUGAUGUCAACCAGUGUAGAUGAAGGGGAGGGGACAGGUUAAAGCUAUGAUCCCUUAUUGAUGUCAACCAGUGUAGAUGAAGGGGAGGGGACAGGUUAAAGCUAUGAUCCCUUAUUGAUGUCAACCAGUGUAGAUGAAGGGGAGGGGACAGGUUAAAGCUAUGAUCCCUUAUUGAUGUCAACCAGUGUAGAUGAAGGGGAGGGGACAGGUUAAAGCUAUGAUCCCUUAUUGAUGUCAACCAGUGUAGAUGAAGGGGAGGGGACAGGUUAAAGCUAUGAUCCCUUAUUGAUGUCAACCAGUGUAGAUGAAGGGGAGGGGACAGGUUAAAGCUAUGAUCCCUUAUUGAUGUCAACCAGUGUAGAUGAAGGGGAGGGGACAGGUUAAAGCUAUGAUCCCUUAUUGAUGUCAACCAGUGUAGAUGAAGGGGAGGGGACAGGUUAAAGCUAUGAUCCCUUAUUGAUGUCAACCAGUGUAGAUGAAGGGGAGGGGACAGGUUAAAGCUAUGAUCCCUUAUUGAUGUCAACCAGUGUAGAUGAAGGGGAGGGGACAGGUUAAAGCUAUGAUCCCUUAUUGAUGUCAACCAGUGUAGAUGAAGGGGAGGGGACAGGUUAAAGCUAUGAUCCCUUAUUGAUGUCAACCAGUGUAGAUGAAGGGGAGGGGACAGGUUAAAGCUAUGAUCCCUUAUUGAUGUCAACCAGUGUAGAUGAAGGGGAGGGGACAGGUUAAAGCUAUGAUCCCUUAUUGAUGUCAACCAGUGUAGAUGAAGGGGAGGGGACAGGUUAAAGCUAUGAUCCCUUAUUGAUGUCAACCAGUGUAGAUGAAGGGGAGGGGACAGGUUAAAGCUAUGAUCCCUUAUUGAUGUCAACCAGUGUAGAUGAAGGGGAGGGGACAGGUUAAAGCUAUGAUCCCUUAUUGAUGUCAACCAGUGUAGAUGAAGGGGAGGGGACAGGUUAAAGCUAUGAUCCCUUAUUGAUGUCAACCAGUGUAGAUGAAGGGGAGGGGACAGGUUAAAGCUAUGAUCCCUUAUUGAUGUCAACCAGUGUAGAUGAAGGGGAGGGGACAGGUUAAAGCUAUGAUCCCUUAUUGAUGUCAACCAGUGUAGAUGAAGGGGAGGGGACAGGUUAAAGCUAUGAUCCCUUAUUGAUGUCAACCAGUGUAGAUGAAGGGGAGGGGACAGGUUAAAGCUAUGAUCCCUUAUUGAUGUCAACCAGUGUAGAUGAAGGGGAGGGGACAGGUUAAAGCUAUGAUCCCUUAUUGAUGUCAACCAGUGUAGAUGAAGGGGAGGGGACAGGUUAAAGCUAUGAUCCCUUAUUGAUGUCAACCAGUGUAGAUGAAGGGGAGGGGACAGGUUAAAGCUAUGAUCCCUUAUUGAUGUCAACCAGUGUAGAUGAAGGGGAGGGGACAGGUUAAAGCUAUGAUCCCUUAUUGAUGUCAACCAGUGUAGAUGAAGGGGAGGGGACAGGUUAAAGCUAUGAUCCCUUAUUGAUGUCAACCAGUGUAGAUGAAGGGGAGGGGACAGGUUAAAGCUAUGAUCCCUUAUUGAUGUCAACCAGUGUAGAUGAAGGGGAGGGGACAGGUUAAAGCUAUGAUCCCUUAUUGAUGUCAACCAGUGUAGAUGAAGGGGAGGGGACAGGUUAAAGAAGGAUUGAGACAUGAACUGUGUAUGUGUGCCAUUCAGAAGGCAAAGUUCCUUUGAACGGGUAUGGCAGUGGGUACCAGGCGCACCGGUUUGAGUGUAUCAAGAACAGCAACGCUGCCGGGUUUUUCCACACUCAACAGUCUCCCCGGUGUAUCAAGAACAGCAACGCUGCCGGGUUUUUCCACACUCAACAGUCUCCCCGGUGUAUCAAGAAUGGUCUACCACCCAAAGGACAUCUAGACAUCUAACUGUGGGAAGCAUUGGAGUGAACACAGGCCAGCAUGCCCUGACGAAUUGAAGCUGUUCUGAGUAAAAAAAAACAGUUGCAGCUCAAACUUAGGAAGAUGUUCCUAAUGUUUUGUACACAGUGUAACACACACACACAGUGCCACCUCUGAGAAACCAGAGUUCUUAUUCACUGGAAUACAGAGAGAUCGAGUAGGAGAUAUAUAGAUGCAUCAUAUACACAGUAGACUUAUAAACACACAUAUUGUACAUUACACACCGAGACCAACUGCACACACACACACACAAUACAGCUGAAGACUUUAUAAAUACUCAAAUGUAAUGAGAUUAAAGGCAACACAAUACUCUCGACCCUGAAAUAGAAGAGUGUUCCUAACGUUAUUAGAACAAACCCCAGAACCUUUCAGGGCCCCCGGUCUCAUGGCGUGUGUUUAUUAUUCUCCUAUGAGAUGGGAAGAGGAAGUUGCGAGUAACGAGUCUUUCAGUUUUGUAGCUUCAGUGACGCUGUUAUCCCCGACACAGCCCGCUGCAGAAGUUACCCUACUCACAAUGGUAGAAAAACAACAGUCAACUUUUGAGGAGCGCUUUGAACAAUACCAGGAAACGAGGCUGCGUACCAAAUGUCUAUGGGCCCUGGUCAAAAGUAGUGCACUCUGGAGGGAAUAGGGUGCCACUUGGGAUGCAGCCAAUGCGUUUAAAUGCAGGUCCCCUUUUACAGCUUUUACGUCCUAGGAUCCAUUGUGUUGAACGUAUUUAUAGGACAGAACUACAAGGCCUGAUUUGAAUCAGUUCAAGCAGUGUAGUUUCGGGAGCAGUUAGGAAUAUAGACAUUGAAAGUGUGCUCUGGAGAGCUGGCUGUCGUGGGAGGUAAAGGAGAACACUUUCCCAUAGUGCUGUUGUGAUAACGUGCGUGCCAGUCACGCAUGUUGUAGAACAGCCUCCCAUAGCACUACAAAGUCCACAAGCCACCUCUGCAUAGCCUGGAUUUAACUUCAUUUACAACCGAAACGCCGGGCUUCUUUUUUUCCCUUCAUCUUCACAGACAGCUGAACCUCUUGCCAAACCUGCCCUCAUUCCAGAACCACUAGCAAUGA